CGAGAAGGAUGACUUGAUCAGCCAGGGUAGUCCGAGGCACAGAAGUAUAUCGAACGUGUUCGAUCCUAUCGAAUUACUGAUGCCCAUUGAGCCAUGCCCUGAACAAUGAAAGAGGAUGAUAAGAGGAGUUACGGAAAGAAAAGAAAUCAUCUUGAAGUUACGAGUUUCUGUGCAUGAAGAUAACAGGACUCGUUGUCAAUCAAAGUUGUAAUAAAACCGAAAUUAUGGCCUCACCUGUCGUAACUCGUCGACCGUCCGAAGAUAUCUGGUCGUCGUUUGUACGGAAUCUCGUACACCGCUGGAACGAUUUAUCCCAAUACAUCACGGCGAUAUAAACAAUAUACAAGAGCACCAACGUUAAUGCCUCGUACCAUUCCACUCGCUCGUCAUGUAUAAUGCAUAUUAAAAUGGCGACGGUGACACCAACACUUGGCAACCUACCAUUCCCGCACCGAUACCGCAGCAGGCUGGAACAGCCAGGAUGUUGAAUACUGCGGAACCUACUAUCGUCCCGACGCCAAUGUCACCUUCCGUGAUGAAUGUUCC